rnacentral:tRNA from 1 species
GCGGGAGUAGCUCAGUUGGUAGAGCGCCACCUUGCCAAGGUUGAGGUCGCGAGUUCGAGACUCGUCUCCCGCU